UACAGAGGGUGCAAGCGUUAAUCGGAUUUACUGGGCGUAAAGCGUGCGUAGGCGGUUCAGUAUGUCGGUCGUGAAAUCCCCGGGCUUAACCUGGGAACUGCGGCCGAAACUGCUGAGCUUGAGUGUGGUAGAGGAAGGUGGAAUUCCAGGUGUAGCGGUGAAAUGCGUAGAUAUCUGGAGGAACACCGAUGGCGAAGGCAGCCUUCUGGGCCACAACUGACGCUGAGAUACGAAAGCGUGGGUAGCAAACAGG
rnacentral:rRNA from 1 species